GAUGAACGCUGGCGGCGUGCCUAAUACAUGCAAGUCGAGCGAACGGACGAGAAGCUUGCUUCUCUGAUGUUAGCGGCGGACGGGUGAGUAACACGUGGAUAACCUACCUAUAAGACUGGGAUAACUUCGGGAAACCGGAGCUAAUACCGGAUAAUAUUUUGAACCGCGUGGUUCAAAAGUAAAAGACGGUCUUGCUGUCACUUAUAGAUGGAUCCGCGCUGCAUUAGCUAGUUGGUAAGGUAACGGCUUACCAAGGCAACGAUGCAUAGCCGACCUGAGAGGGUGAUCGGCCACACUGGAACUGAGACACGGUCCAGACUCCUACGGGAGGCAGCAGUAGGGAAUCUUCCGCAAUGGGCGAAAGCCUGACGGAGCAACGCCGCGUGAGUGAUGAAGGUCUUCGGAUCGUAAAACUCUGUUAUUAGGGAAGAACAUAUGUGUAAGUAACUGUGCACAUCUUGACGGUACCUAAUCAGAAAGCCACGGCUAACUACGUGCCAGCAGCCGCGGUAAUACGUAGGUGGCAAGCGUUAUCCGGAAUUUUAUGGGCGUAAAGCGCGCGUAGCGGUUUUUUAAGUCUGAUGUGAAAGCCCACGGCUCAACCGUGGAGGGUCAUUGGAAACUGGAAAACUUGAGUGCAGAAGAGGAAAGUGGAAUUCCAUGUGUAGCGGUGAAAUGCGCAGAGAUAUGGAGGAACACCAGUGGCGAAGGCGACUUUCUGGUCUGUAACUGACGCUGAUGUGCGAAAGCGUGGGGAUCAAACAGGAUUAGAUACCCUGGUAGUCCACGCCGUAAACGAUGAGUGCUAAGUGUUAGGGGGUUUCCGCCCCUUAGUGCUGCAGCUAACGCAUUAAGCACUCCGUCUGGGGAGUACGACCGCAAGGUUGAAACUCAAAGGAAUUGACGGGGACCCGCACAAGCGGUGGAGCAUGUGGUUUAAUUCGAAGCAACGCGAAGAACCUUACCAAAUCUUGACAUCCUUUGACAACUCUAGAGAUAGAGCCUUCCCCUUCGGGGGACAAAGUGACAGGUGGUGCAUGGUUGUCGUCAGCUCGUGUCGUGAGAUGUUGGAUUAAGUCCCGCAACGAGCGCAACCCUUAAGCUUAGUUGCCAUCAUUAAGUUGGGCACUCUAAGUUGACUGCCGGUGACAAACCGGAGGAAGGUGGGGAUGACGUCAAAUCAUCAUGCCCCUUAUGAUUUGGGCUACACACGUGCUACAAUGGACAAUACAAAGGGCAGCGAAACCGCGAGGUCAAGCAAAUCCCAUAAAGUUGUUCUCAGUUCGGAUUGUGGUCUGCAACUCGACUACAUGAAGCUGGAAUCGCUAGUAAUCGUAGAUCAGCAUGCUACGGUGAAUACGUUCCCGGGUCU
rnacentral:rRNA from 1 species